rnacentral:rRNA from 1 species
CCUACGGGAGGCAGCAGUCGGGAAUAUUGGACAAUGGGCGGAAGCCUGAUCCAGCAAUACCGCGUGUGUGAAGAAGGCCUGCGGGUUGUAAAGCACUUUCAGUUGGGAAGAUAAUGACGUUACCAACAGAAGAAGCAUCGGCUAACUCCGUGCCAGCAGCCGCGGUAAUAA